AGCGAACGCUGGCGGCAGGCUUAACACAUGCAAGUCGAGGGGUAUAGGAAGCUUGCUUCCUAGAGACCGGCGCACGGGUGCGUAACGCGUAUGCAAUCUACCUUUUACAGAGGGAUAGCCCAGAGAAAUUUGGAUUAAUACCUCAUAGUAUCUUUGCCUGGCAUCAGGUGAUUAUUAAAGUUCCAACGGUAAAAGAUGAGCAUGCGUCCUAUUAGCUAGAUGGUAAGGUAACGGCUUACCAUGGCGACGAUAGGUAGGGGUCCUGAGAGGGAGAUCCCCCACACGGGUACUGAGACACGGACCAGACUCCUACGGGAGGCAGCAGUGAGGAAUAUUGGACAAUGGGCGCAAGCCUGAUCCAGCCAUGCCGCGUGCAGGAAGAAGCAUCUAUGGUGUGUAAACUGCUUUUGUACGGGAAGAAACACUCCUACGUGUAGGAGCUUGACGGUACCGUAAGAAUAAGGAUCGGCUAACUCCGUGCCAGCCGCCGCCGUAACAC
rnacentral:rRNA from 1 species